UUUAAUGUCAACCUAUGUUUAACAACAUUAUAUUAAUGCCACUCGAUCUAUCCUAGGUUCACGACACUAGGUUUAGAUGCCACAUAAUCUCCAUAAUUAACAAUAGGUUAACAUUCAUUUCAUCUAGCAUAUAUGUUCUAUAAAGCCAACAUGCAUCAUAAUGCUAAUAUGCCAUUAUCAACUAGCAUGCAAAUCCGUUCAUAAUGCUACAUGCAUACAAUCUCCAUUACACUAGUUCACAUGUUACUAGUUUCAUUAUCAAGUCCAAGUUCUUUGUUUUUCUUUACAUUAUAGGAUCUCAUGUCUCAACCUUAAUCAUCAUGCAUUCUAGAUUUAAGUGUCAAGUCUAUAUAAUACUACACAACUAGACAUGCAUGCAAGAAAAUAGGAAUGUAACUAUUCAUAUAUCCUAUAAUGCAUAAGAACCAUAUAUAUGAAAUAUGAUCAAAGAUCUAACUUGGACAUAGAAGGAAGCCCGAUUGCUUCGGAUAGACACCCCCCACCUUUUUAUAGCGUUCCGAUUGCUCGUCGUCACUCGCAAUCGGCCUCUCGCGGCACUCGGCACCCGUUUGGGCCCGAUCACACAGUUGCACUUCAAGAGCGCACCGCUUCGCCGCCUCAAGUGCAGAAGCUCUUCGGUUUCCUGUUACGACGCUCGGGAUCCAAUCCCACGAUUUGUGGAAGCCGCCUCGACUCCCGGGUCAACCCUGAACUAUGAAACCUUGUUUCAGCCGGAACGUCGCACCCGCUCGACGAAUCGACGAACCGUCGCUUCCUACGCGUUCGGAGACACAAUAAUUAGGUUUCUGACCACUCAAUUUAGAUCAAACCCAAGUAUUUACAAAAACCCCAUUUUGGAGCCCUAGGUGUUCAACAAUGCAAGAAUACCUCAAACAAGGUCUUGAAUCAUGCAAUUAACACCUAUUUAACAUCCUAGGGUUCAUCUAAAACCAUCUUUAUAGUAUAAGAGUCUAACCCUAAAGAUUCACCAUGAUUGAGCUUAGAAGCUGACCUCUCCAAGCUUGCUACUAGCCAUGGAAGGAGAAGAAGAAGAAGAAAUCCCUUCUCUUGAUCUUGAUCUCCACCAAAAUCCUCUCCUCCAACACCUUCUAGAGAGAGGAAGAGCACUUAGAGAGAGAGAGGGAGAUGCUUUUGGUUGCAAAUGAGAGAGAGAAGGAGAGAAAAGAGCUCCAACUCUCUUCUAUACACUCCCCACAAUUGCACAAAGGUCCCUAAACAGUAUAAGUGUUGCACAGCCCAAACUGGGCCAUUUUCGGGUGCUGGGACCGGUCUCUGGACUUGAGGGACCGGUUCCCGAAGGUCCCAAAAAACAGCAUUUCCAGACUUAGCCAAAUUUUCAGCUUUUUCACCGUUUUAGCUCCGUUUUCGCUCGUUUUCGCUCGUUUGACCUCCGAUUCUUUUCAAAUCGAACCGAGACUCUCCAAACAUGUUUUCGAGCAUGUUUUCAUCAUCUUUUCAUCCACGCUAAAGCCGGAUUUAGUCCAUAGUCCGACAUAGCCCUUCGGGUCCCG
rnacentral:lncRNA from 1 species